UACGAAGGGGGCUAGCGUUGCUCGGAAUCACUGGGCGUAAAGGUGCGUAGGCGGUCUUUAAGUCAGGGGUGAAAUCCUGGAGCUCAACUCCAGAACUGCCUUUGAUACUGAAGAUCUUGAGUUCGGGAGAGGUGAGUGGAACUGCGAGUGUAGAGGUGAAAUUCGUAGAUAUUCGCAAGAACACCAGUGGCGAAGGCGGCCGACUGGUCCGGUUCUGACGCUGAGGCGCGAAAGCGUGGGGAGCGAACCGG
rnacentral:rRNA from 1 species